CCUACGGGAGGCAGCAGUGGGGAAUAUUGCACAAUGGGGGAAACCCUGAUGCAGCGACGCCGCGUGAGUGAAGAAGUAUCUCGGUACGUAAAGCUCUAUCAGCAGGGAAGAAAAUGACGGUACCUGACUAAGAAGCCCCGGCUAACUACGUGCCAGCAGCCGCGGUAAUACGUAGGGGGCAAGCGUUAUCCGGAUUUACUGGGUGUAAAGGGAGCGUAGGCGGUUUAGCAAGUCAGAAGUGAAAGCCCGGGGCUUAACUGCGGAACUGCUUUGGAAACUGGCGAACUAGAGUGCGGGAGGGGUAAGCGGAAUUCCUAGUGUAGCGGUGAAAUGCGUAGAUAUUAGGAGGAACACCGGUGGCGAAGGCGGCUUACUGGACCGUAACUGACGUUGAGGCUCGAAAGCGUGGGGAGCAAACAGGAUUAGAUACCCGGGUAGUC
rnacentral:rRNA from 1 species